rnacentral:rRNA from 1 species
AUACGGAGGAUCCAAGCGUUAUCCGGAUUUAUUGGGUUUAAAGGGUGCGCAGGCGGCCUUAUAAGUCAGUGGUGAAAUCUCCCGGCUCAACCGGGAAACUGCCAUUGAUACUGUAAGGCUAGAAUACAGACGAGGUAGGCGGAAUGUAGCAUGUAGCGGUGAAAUGCUUAGAUAUGCUACAGAACACCGAUCGCGAAGGCAGCUUACCAGACUGUAAUUGACGCUAAGGCACGAAAGCGUGGGGAGCGAACAGGAUUAGAAACCCCAGUAGUCC